rnacentral:rRNA from 1 species
UACUCCCGCCGGCGACCGGCGCACGGGUGAGUAACACGUAUGAAACCUGCCCGUAGCAGGGGGAUAAGCGGAAGAAAUUCCGUCUAAUACCGCGUAACAACCCGAGGAGGCAUCUCCUCGGGUUUAAAGGAAGCGAUUCCGGCUACGGAUGGUCAUGCGUCGCAUUAGCUAGUUGGCGGGGUAACGGCCCACCAAGGCGACGAUGCGUAGGGGUUCUGAGAGGAAGGUCCCCCACAUUGGAACUGAGACACGGCCAAACUCCUACGGGAGGCAGCAG